UACGGAGGAGGCAAGCGUUAUCCGGAAUUAUUGGGCGUAAAGCGUCCGUAGGCGGCACUUCAAGUCUGUCGUCAAAGACCGGGGCUUAACCCUGGAAAGGCGGUGGAAACUGAAGCGCUAGAGUGCGGUAGGGGUAGAGGGAAUUCCCGGUGUAGCGGUGAAAUGCGUAGAUAUCUGGAGGAACACCGGUGGCGAAGGCGGCAUCCUGGACCGGCAUUGACGCUGAGGCGCGAAAGCCAGGGGAGCAAACGGG
rnacentral:rRNA from 1 species